rnacentral:rRNA from 1 species
CUACGGGACGCAGCAGUGAGGAAUAUUGGACAAUGGUCGAAAGACUGAUCCAGCCAUGCCGCGUGCAGGAUGACUGCCCUAUGGGUUGUAAACUGCUUUUAUACGGGAAGAAGAACACCUACGUGUAGGUGACUGACGGUACCGUAAGAAUAAGGACCGGCUAACUCCGGGCCAGCAGCCGCGGUAAUACGGAGGGUCCAAGCGUUAUCCGGAAUCAUUGGGUUUAAAGGGUCCGUAGGCGGGCUAUUAAGUCAGAGGUGAAAGUUUGCAGCUCAACUGUAAAAUUGCCUUUGAUACUGAUAGUCUUGAAUUGUAGUGAAGUGGUUAGAAUAUGUGGUGUAGCGGUGAAAUGCAUAGAUAUCACAUAGAAUACCGAUUGCGAAGGCAGAUCACUAACUAUAUAUUGACGCUGAGGGACGAAAGCGUGGGGAGCGAACGGGAUUAGAUACCCCAGUAGUC